UUCGAACCUUAUGAGGAUCUGUCCUCUGAAUUUAAUGUGGAGUGCAUGCUUCAAUGGUCUUCAAAGUUCUCUGAUUGCC